rnacentral:rRNA from 1 species
UACAGAGGUGGCGAGCGUUAAUCGGAAUCACUGGGCUUAAAGCGUUCGUAGGCGGGUCUGCAGGCGCGUUGUGAAAGCCCCGGCUCAACCGGGGAACUGCUUCGCGAACCGCAGAUCUUGAGUCAAGUAGGGCGAUCGGAACGAUAGGUGGAGCGGUGAAAUGCGUAGAUAUCUAUCGGAACGCCGAAGGUGAAGACAGGUCGCUGGGCUGAUACUGACGCUGAGGAACGAAGCGUGGGAGCAAACGG